rnacentral:ncRNA from 1 species
CACAAAGGCUURGUCCUGACUUUAUUAUCAGCUUUGACUAGAUUUACACAUGCAAGUAUCCGCACCCCCGUGAAAAUGCCCCACAGUUCCCUUUUUGGGAGCAAGGAGCUGGUAUCAGGCUCAAUUAAAUUAAGCCCACGACGCCUUGCUUAGCCACACCCCCAAGGGAACUCAGCAGUGAUAGACAUUAAACUAUAAGUGAAAACUUGACUUAGUUAAGGUUAAGAGGGCCGGUAAAACUCGUGCCAGCCACCGCGGUUAUACGAGAGACCCAAGUUGAUAAGAAUCGGCGUAAAGAGUGGUUAGGAUCCUAAAUAUAACUAAAGCCAAAUGCCCGCAAAGCUGUUAUACGCAUUCGAGGGCCAGAAACCCACCUACGAAAGUGGCUUUAUUAAGCUGACCCCACGAAAGCCAUGGAACAAACUGGGAUUAGAGACCCCACUAUGCCUGGCCCUAAACUUUGAUAACAUACUACUAUUGUUAUACGCCCGGGAACUACGAGCAUAAGCUUAAAACCCAAAAGACUUGGCGGUGCUUUAAACCCACCUAGAGGAGCCUGUUCUAGAACCGAUAACCCCCGUUCAACCUCACCUUUUCUUGUUUAUACCGCCUAUAUACCGCCGUCAUCAGCUUACCCUGUGAAGGACAAAUAGUAAGCAUAAUUGGCACUGCCCAAAAUGUCAGGUCGAGGUGUAGCGUAUGGGAAGUGGAAGAAAUGGGCUACAUUUGGUGAAACACCACACUACGAAAGGCUGGCUGAAACGCCSSCCAGAAGGAGGAUUUAGCAGUAAGUAGAAAACAGAGUGUUCUACUGAAGCCGGCCCUGAAGCGCGUACACACCGCCCGUCACUCUCCCCGAAAAAACUUAAAAGAGUACCUAAAACGUUAAAAAUAUAGAGGGGAGGCAAGUCGUAACAUGGUAAGUGUACCGGAAGGUGCACUUG